CGAUAACGAACGAGACCUUAACCUGCUAAAUAGCCAGGCCCGCUUUGGCGGGUCGCCGGCUUCUUAGAGGGACUAUCGGCUCAAGCCGAUGGAAGUUUGAGGCAAUAACAGGUCUGUGAUGCCCUUACAUGUUCUGGGCCGCACGCGCGCUACACUGACAGAGCCAACGAGUUCAUUUCCUUGUCCGAAAGGUCUGGGUAAUCUUGUUAAACUCUGUCGUGCUGGGGAUAGAGCAUUGCAAUUAUUGCUCUUCAACGAGGAAUCCCUAGUAAGCGCAAGUCAUCAGCUUGCGUUGAUUACGUCCCUGCCCUUUGUACACACCGCCCGUCGCUACUACCGAUUGAAUG
rnacentral:rRNA from 1 species